CAGUUACAUCUCUGGAAGGAUACAAAUCACAUUAUCUGUUGUGUCCAGAAAUACACUAAACUUUUGUUACAUAACAGAAAUUCCUACAUUUUUAUUUGUAAAACCCAAAACCUUACUUUGUUUCAUCCAAACUUAAUGUCUUUUUCUUUAAUGUGUAUCAACCAUUUCUAUAUAUUCAUGACUUUUUUUCUGCUCUGCUCACUUUCAUUUUUUUUGCUCACUUUCAAAUUCUUUGAGUAUCUGUACACUAUUCACAGAACCCCAAUCUCAAGAAUUUGAGUGAUUUGUCUUCCUUCUAACUUAACCUUUUAUAGCCCAAUCAUAUCUUAAGUAUUUGAAAAGGUUCCAGAAAAUAAAAUCUCAAAAGGUUAUGAUUUAAAGUAAUGAAAAUUUUCUUUGCAUAUGAUACUUCAUUCCUGUUAAAUCCCCUAAAAAUAGUUUGCUGUUUUCUGUCAACUGUAUUUUGCCUGAAAGGGAGGAAGUAAUUACUAAGAACAGGAUUAGGCUGGUUUGGGAAAUACUUUCAUGGCACCCUGUAAGCAUUUUAGUCGACUUUGAAACUAUGGCUAAAACAAAGUAAUUUUAUUUCCCUUCCUGAUUUUGUAGCUUUCUUGCUCCCUGAGAAUUAUAACAUAGUGACUUGGUGUUGCUUGCAAGAAUAUUGGAUUUCACUGGGUGCCAGAUCAUACCGUCUUUUUAAAUCAUGUUCCUUUCAUAGAUAAUUUGCCCCACUGUAAAAUCAUUAAGGAUAUUCAUUAAGUAUGCCACUCUUUUGUAGAGGAUCAAUAUAUCUAAAAUAAAAGGCACAGUUGUUUGCAUUUAGUUUCAGUCAUGUUUUCUUUUAGGCUUUCAGUAUUUUGUUUUUAAUACGCCAGAGUAGCUCCUCAUGUAAUGAGAUGGCACCUUGUGUAAUGAGCUACUGUUUAUUGUUAUUCCUGGCAACAGACCAUACGAGGGCAAGGCCUGUUAAAUACAAGUGCGCACCGGAGAUGCUCUUUCAACCUGCAGUGAGGGCCUGUAUGAGCAGAGGAAGGACAAUAUUUUUCCUUCUGUUUAGUCUCCAGGCAGAUUACAGAUGUCUCCAGCCUUUCUGUCUAGAGGCCUGGAUCUGCUAUGCUUGAGUUAUGACAGUGAGAUUAUAAAAAAUGUUUGAAGCUGGACAAGAGCACUGGAAGGUACACCUCAACGUAGAGUCCCAAGUCCUUGAAGAGGAAUGAUAGAGACAUGAGCUGGAGGUGAGGAUGGUGAGAAAUAAACUACACAUUAAAAGCCUGGGGGACA
ensembl:lncRNA